CUUCGGUGAAGCGGUGAAUUUAAGCCCCGGUAAACGGCGGUGGUAACUAUAACCAUCCUAAGGUAGCGAAAUUCCUUGUCGGGUAAGUUCCGACCUGCACGAAUGGCGUAACGACUUCCCCACUGUCUCGGCCAGGAGCCCGGCGAAAUUGCAGUACGAGUAAAGAUGCUCGUUAAGCGCAGAAGGACGAAAAGACCCCGGGACCUUUACUAUACCUUGGUAUUGUCGUUAGGUGUGGAUCGUGUAGCAUAGGCGGGAGGCUGUGAAGCGCGGGCGCUAGCUUGCGUGGAGUCGACAGGUGAAAUACCGCUCUUUCCAUAUCUGGCGUCUAACCUCAGCACGUUAUCCGUGUUAGGGACAGUGCCUGGCGGGUAGUUUAACUGGGGCGGUUGCCUCCUAAAGAGUAACGGAGGCGCUCAAUGGUCCGCUCAGCCCGGUUGGCAAUCGGGUGUUGAGUGUAAUCGCACAAGCGGGCUUGACUGUGAGACUGACGGGUCGAGCAGGGACGAAAGUCGGAGAUAGUGAUCCGGUGCCGGCGUACGGACGUGGCAUCGCUCAACGGAUAAAAGGUACCCCGGGGAUAACAGGCUGAUCAUUCCCAAGAGUCCAUAUCGACGGGAUGGUUUGGCACCUCGAUGUCGGCUCGUCGCAUCCUGGGGCUGGAGCAGGUCCCAAGGGUUCGGCUGUUCGCCGAUUAAAGCGGCACGCGAGCUGGGUUCAGAACGUCGUGAGACAGUUUGGUCUCUAUCCUCUGCGCUCGUUGGAAUGUUGAGGAGACCUGCCCAUAGUACGAGAGGACCUGGGUGGACGAACCUCUGGUAUGCCGGUCGUCACGCCAGUGGCGCCGCCGGUUAGCUACGUUCGGAAGGGAUAACCGCUGAAAGCAUCUAAGCGGGAAGCCUGCUCCAAGAUAAGCAUUCCUUGCACUUUAGUGUGUGAGCCCCCAUGUAGAACACGUGGUUGAUAGGCUGGACGUGGAAGCCCUGUAAGGGGUGGAGCUGACCAGUACUAACGGGCGAUGGUGACA
rnacentral:rRNA from 2 species